rnacentral:rRNA from 1 species
AUGCGGCUCCGCUACCAGCAGCAUCGAGGUCGGAGGCGAGGGUCGAUCGGUUUUGGCCAUGAGCGGGCGGUUUUGCGUUGGGUGUCCUCGUCAGCGCUUGGCUUCAGACGCGGAGGAAUCGGGGCCUCGGCUUCACGGCGACACAUUACAGCGUCCCUACUGUUGUGCUUCUGCUCUCGGUUGAUUCGGGGGUGGGCAUCAGCAUGUGAAAUCGACUGCAGAGGAUUCGGGCCUGGGGCAUCGCAUCUUCCUGCCGAUGGAAGGCCUGUGUCCCCUCGAGGCUGGUACGGAUUCUGGCAAGGACAGAGUUUCUCAGCCCUUUUUCAUUGCGUGUGUAUUCUUUAG